GCCUGCAAAGACAAUACAGAAGGGUAAGAAAGAUGAAAGUUAAAAGCUGACGAUUCUUUGGGUUAACUAUGUAGGUGGUACCUUGAAGAGAAGAGCCCGGUGACGGUAGAUUCCUCUGGUGAUCAGCCCGAUGGGAAUAACGUUAGACUGAAGCUGGAUCUUGAGCUCGCUGAGAUGCAGCACCCACGGGAAAGCGUGCAUCUUCUCCAUCUCCACUGCUCCCCCCAUGGCUUCGCUCACCAUCCUUACAACCACAUUCAUGCACAAACAACCCAUUACAAUUCAGAAACUCUGAACCAUUUAGUGUGCAGGAAGUACAUCUUGUUUUCAUUUAUUUCCAUGAUUCUGGAGAUUUAGACAAUGAUUUAAUAUAUGAUUUUCUUUUCUCUUCCCAGUUACAUCAUUACAUGUGUUGAUGAUUUGCAGACUGCAGAGUUCCAUUACCUGGCCAAGGCAGCGCACUGCUCUCGUUCGUCAUCCAGCGAGAGGAUGUAGUCUUUGGUUUCUUUAACUAGAACCUGCAAAGAGACGUCCUCCACCAUCUUCCACGGUUUCUCUGCAGGAGACACAGAUUGAGUCACGUCUUCCUGUUGGUGGUCACUUUCUUGCCUCUGCCUGUACAGAAAGAUGGUGUAUUUUCAAAAGACAUCGGCUGAGAGAGUUGAUGUACCAGCUGAGAGGGACAACACAAACACCAGCUGCAGGGGAGACCAUGGCCAGUGCUGCCAGACACAGUGUGGUGUUGACCAACACCUGUGUAUCUGUGGACUUUAAGGGCUCCACCAGAGCCUGUAUGACUCCAUGUGACAGAAUGCUGUUGCGAAUGGCUUCCUGUUGUGCCAUGUUGCAAAGCGUGGCAGCAGCAUUGGCUACCGUCUUCGGACAACUUCUUUGGAGCUGCUGGACAAGGAUCGCAUGGCCUCCUGCCUUGUACACCGCCCUGCGAGAUACCAUAGAAAUGUACUGGAGAUUUACUUUGAGCCAACAGAACUGGCAAAUGCAGUAUCUCACGUUCAUAUGUGCAUACAACAUAGAUUUUCUGUGAUGAGAAUGGAACAAAUGUAAUCACAUAUAUGUGACAACUAACAUCAGGAGUUAGGAUAAUGAGAGGUUGCUGUGUGGGAGGUAGAGAUAACUGGUCGUGUCCUGAGAACUGAAGGAGACAGUAAUAUUGAAAUAUGAGGAAAGACAGUGAGAGCUGAUGCUGCAGAGAGAAUUUGGCUGGAGAAUAAAAAUGUGGAGGAGUAAAGGAGGGGAGUGAGAACCAUGAUGAGACAGAUAAAGCAUUAAAUCAUUUGUGAGAUGGUGGAGUGAACGGCAUACUGUUACAUUUUAGUGCUACCUCAUCCUAAGCCUUUUUAUU